GGAAUUUUCCGCAAUGGGCGCAAGCCUGAUGCAGCCAUGCCGCGUGUAUGAAGAAGGCCUUCGGGUUGUAAAGUACUUUCAGCAGUGAGGAACUCAUUUGACGUUAGCUGCAGAAGAAGCACCGGCUAACUCCGUGCCAGCAGCCGCGGUAAUACGGAGGGUGCGAGCGUUAAUCGGAAUUACUGGGCGUAAAGCGCAUGCAGGUGGUUUGUUAAGUCAGAUGUGAAAGCCCGGGGCUCAACCUCGGAAUUGCAUUUGAAACUGGCAAACUAGAGUACUGUAGAGGGGGGUAGAAUUUCAGGUGUAGCGGUGAAAUGCGUAGAGAUCUGAAGGAAUACCGGUGGCGAAGGCGGCCCCCUGGACAGAUACUGACACUCAGAUGCGAAAGCGUGGGGAGCAAACAGGAUUAGAUACCCCAGUAGUC
rnacentral:rRNA from 1 species